rnacentral:rRNA from 1 species
AACGAACGCUGGCGGCAUGCCUAACACAUGCAAGUCGAACGAGACCUUCGGGUCUAGUGGCGCACGGGUGCGUAACGCGUGGGAACCUGCCCUUAGGUUCGGAAUAACUCCCCGAAAGGGGUGCUAAUACCGGAUAAUGUCUUCGGACCAAAGAUUUAUCGCCUUUGGAUGGGCCCGCGUUGGAUUAGCUAGUUGGUAGGGUAAAAGCCUACCAAGGCGACGAUCCAUGGCUGGUCUGAGAGGAUGAUCAGCCACACUGGGACUGAGACACGGCCCAGACUCCUACGGGAGGCAGCAGUGGGGAAUAUUGGACAAUGGGCGAAAGCCUGAUCCAGCAAUGCCGCGUGAGUGAUGAAGGCCUUAGGGUUGUAAAGCUCUUUUACCCGGGAUGAUAAUGACAGUACCGGGAGAAUAAGCGCCGGCUAACUCCGUG